CUACGGGCGGCAGCAGUGGGGAAUAUUGCACAAUGGGCGCAAGCCUGAUGCAGCCAUGCCGCGUGUAUGAAGAAGGCCUUCGGGUUGUAAAGUACUUUCAGCGGGGAGGAAGGGAGUAAAGUUAAUACCUUUGCUCAUUGACGUUACCCGCAGAAGAAGCACCGGCAACUGCGUGCCAGCAGCCGCGGUAAUACGGAGGGUGCAAGCGUUAAUCGGAAUUACUGGGCGUAAAGCGCACGCAGGCGGUUUGUUAAGUCAGAUGUGAAAUCCCCGGGCUCAACCUGGGAACUGCAUCUGAUACUGGCAAGCUUGAGUCUCGUAGAGGGGGGUAGAAUUCCAGGUGUAGCGGUGAAAUGCGUAGAGAUCUGGAGGAAUACCGGUGGCGAAGGCGGCCCCCUGGACGAAGACUGACGCUCAGGUGCGAAAGCGUGGGGAGCAAACAGGAUUAGAUACCCGCGUAGUC
rnacentral:rRNA from 1 species